CCCGGAUAGAGUACCAACUUUACAUAUUAUCAGAUUAGAUGUCACAAAUCUUGUUCAACUUUGCUGCUUUAGGAUGGGUCUAUGAAACGAAACAUUUUGUUAGUACACCAAACGCACAAGAUGUGUGAAAGAAACGAUCUUCGAACACCCACAUCAUGAACAUCCAGUCGAGUGAGGGAGUUACAACAGAUUCAGAUAGCUGAGCAUGCAAAUUACUGCUGGGAAAUGUAGCUACAACUUCAUGGAAAGGACAAUCGGUUGUUGCACAUUC
rnacentral:misc_RNA from 1 species